rnacentral:tRNA from 1 species
GCCCGAGUGGCGGAACUGGUAGACGCGCAUGCUUGAGGGGCAUGUGGCCCUUAGGGCCAUGGAGGUUCGAGUCCUCUCUCGGGCA